rnacentral:rRNA from 1 species
GACGAACGCUGGCGGCGUGCUUAACACAUGCAAGUCGAACGGAAAGGCCCCAUCUUGCUGGAGUACUCGAGUGGCGAACGGGUGAGUAACACGUGGGUAAUCUGCCCUUCACUCUGGGAUAAGCCUGGGAAACUGGGUCUAAUCCUGGAUAUGACCUUUCUCCUUUUGGUGUUCGGUGGUUAGUUUUUCGGUGUAGGAUGGGACCGCGGGCUCUCAGCUUGGUGGUGGGGUGAUGGUGUACCAAGGCUCGGCCGGGUAGCCGGCCGGAGAGGGCGAUCGGCCAGAUAGGGACUGAGAGAGGGCCCAGACAGCUACGGGAGGGAGGAGUGGGGAAUGUUGAACAAUGGGCGGAAGCAUGAUGCAGCGAGGCCGGGUGAGGGAUGAAGGCCUUCGGGUGGGAAACAUCUUUCAGCUGGGACGAAGCGUAAGUGACGGUACCUGAAGAAGAAGCACCGGCUAACUAGGUG